CUACGGGGGGCUGCAGUGGGGAAUAUUGCACAAUGGAGGAAACUCUGAUGCAGCAACGCCGCGUGGAGGAUGACACUUUUCGGAGCGUAAACUCCUUUUAUAUAGGAAGAAGAUGACGGUACUAUAUGAAUAAGCGCCGGCUAACUCCGUGCCAGCAGCCGCGGUAAUACGGAGGGCGCAAGCGUUACUCGGAAUCACUGGGCGUAAAGAGCGUGUAGGCGGAUUAAAAAGUCAGAAGUGAAAUCCUAUAGCUUAACUAUAGAACUGCUUCUGAAACUCUUAAUCUAGAAUAUGGGAGAGGUAGAUGGAAUUUCUGGUGUAGGGGUAAAAUCCGUAGAGAUCAGAAGGAAUACCGAUUGCGAAGGCGAUCUACUAGAACAUUAUUGACGCUGAGACGCGAAAGCGUGGGGAGCAAACAGGAUUAGAUACCCCCGUAGUC
rnacentral:rRNA from 1 species